rnacentral:rRNA from 1 species
GACGAACGCUGGCGGCGUGCCUAAUACAUGCAAGUCGAGCGGACUUUCAAGAAGCUUGCUUUUUGAAAGUUAGCGGCGGACGGGUGAGUAACACGUGGGCAACCUGCCUGCAAGACGGGGAUAACUCCGGGAAACCGGGGCUAAUACCGGAUAAUAUCUUCCUUCGCAUGAAGGAAGGUUGAAAGGCGGCGCAAGCUGCCGCUUGCAGAUGGGCCCGCGGCGCAUUAGCUAGUUGGUGAGGUAACGGCUCACCAAGGCGACGAUGCGUAGCCGACCUGAGAGGGUGAUCGGCCACACUGGGACUGAGACACGGCCCAGACUCCUACGGGAGGCAGCAGUAGGGAAUCUUCCGCAAGGGAAGAAAGUCUGACGGAGCAACGCCGCGUGAGCGAAGAAGGUCUUCGGAUCGUAAAGCUCUGUUGUCAGGGAAGAACAAGUACCGUUCGAACAGGGCGGUACCUUGACGGUACCUGACCAGAAAGCCACGGCUAACUACGUG